CAUAAACACAUAUUAUUUAAUAAAAAGACAGUACUAACAAUUUGCAAAAAAAGAGGACAUGGAGUGCGAUUCAUGCAGAAUUUAAUGCCCUUUCAGAACCCUCGAACUAUUAAACAGUUGUUAGCCAAAUUUGACAACAUGAAGCGGUAUGCUCGUAAAGAUGCAAGCAAACAAAGGCAAGAGCGUUUUAAAACAGGGGGUGGUCCACCUCCACCUCUAAAAUGCAUGAAAAGUGGUAUUUACCUUUACAAUAAAAAAUAAACUUACUAUAACUUGUUUAUGAUCAGAAUUACUUGAAAAAAUUGUAUAAAUGCUCUUCAAAAUAAUUAAACAGUUGUGUGUAUCAAUGUAAUAAAAUUAGUGUAAAAAAUAAUAAAAACUGUAAAAAAAUAGAUUUUUAAGAUGAAUUAAUUCUUAUGUGCAUAGGCAGGCAUAACUGUGUAAUGUUGUAUGUAAUUCGGUAAUAAAAAGGCAUAUUAUUUUUGUCAAA